rnacentral:rRNA from 1 species
ACGAACGCUGGCGGCGUGCUUAACACAUGCAAGUCGAACGGAAAGGCCCUGCUUUUGUGGGGUGCUCGAGUGGCGAACGGGUGAGUAACACGUGAGUAACCUGCCCUUGACUUUGGGAUAACUUCAGGAAACUGGGGCUAAUACCGGAUAGGAGCUCCUGCUGCAUGGUGGGGGUUGGAAAGUUUCGGCGGUUGGGGAUGGACUCGCGGCUUAUCAGCCUGUUGGUGGGAUAGUGGCUUACCAAGGCUUUGACGGGUAGCCGGCCUGAGAGGGUGACCGGCCACAUUGGGACUGAGAUACGGCCCAGACUCCUACGGGAGGCAGCAGUGGGGAAUAUUGCACAAUGGGCGGAAGCCUGAUGCAGCAACGCCGCGUGCGGGAUGACGGCCUUCGGGUUGUAAACCGCUUUCGCCUGUGACGAAGCGUGAGUGACGGUAAUGGGUAAAGAAGCACCGGCUAACUACGUG